CCUACGGGAGGCAGCAGUGGGGAAUAUUGCACAAUGGGGGAAACCCUGAUGCAGCGACGCCGCGUGAGUGAAGAAGUAAUUCGUUAUGUAAAGCUCUAUCAGCAGGGAAGAAAAUGACGGUACCUGAGUAAGAAGCCCCGGCUAACUACGUGCCAGCCGCCGCGGUAAUACGUGGGGGGCAAGCGUUAUCCGGAUUUACUGGGUGGAAAGGGAGCGUAGACGGCAGUGCAAGUCUGGAGUGAAAGGCGGGGGCUCAACCCCCGGACUGCUCUGGAAACUGUACGGCUGGAGUGCAGGAGAGGUAAGUGGAAUUCCUAGUGUAGCGGUGAAAUGCGUAGAUAUUAGGAGGAACACCAGUGGCGAAGGCGGCUUACUGGACUGUAACUGACGUUGAGGCUCGAAAGCGUGGGGAGCAAACAGGAUUAGAUACCCCAGUAGUC
rnacentral:rRNA from 1 species